UGAUGCUGUGAAGGGGAAAAAAGGUUAGGCCCUUUUAAUAAUAAUAGGUGGAAAGAGUGGAUGCAAGGAAGUUUUUAUGUUUGUUUUUGUGUUCAGGGACGUUACUUCAUAAUAGGGACCUUAAGAUCCAGGUUUUUCGCGAUUUAAGGCUGACCGCAAACCUCAAGCGGUCACGUGACAAGGGCUUGCCGUCGCGUUUGCCGUUCGAAGUUCACGUUUUGUAAGGCUGGGACCCCUACUAGAAGUCUUUCACAUCCCACUCUCUCAUCAUGUCAUCCCACAUGAGGGGUAUCAGCCCUUUGCUUUUGACAUGCUGUAAGACUUGGCUCAUGUGAUGUACAAACAACUGUGUCCUGUUCCGUGAAUCAGCCCGACACUGAUUACAGGUUUUUAAAUUCCAUACCUAGACAACAAAAUGAGAUGCAGUGUGAAUGAAACUCUUUGAUUCCUUUCACUAUUUCUUUGGUCUCUCAGGGAUGAAGCAGGGGGUGGGGUGGUCUGCUACGUAUUCUCUAGGAUAAGAAAUUGCUCCCAGAACUUUAUAAUGUAUGCUGUACAAAACACUAUUAUAAAUUAGAAAACAAAUCAGUCAAAUUAACCAAUUGACCCCUCAACUGGCCUGUACCGGCAGUAUACACAACGCACAAGCCAAAAAAUGCAAAAUAAAGCCAAAUCUUCAGCCGAAUUAUAGCUCAGGUUCUAAGACAAAUUUCAAAUCUAACGAGGAAAACCUCAAAAUACACACAAAAGUCAGCAAAACUACUCUGUUUUCACAGAGGUGUAAAACACACCAUUUCAACUUGUGAUGAUUUACUUUCCUGAUUUAACCAGUCCUGUGCAGACCACCUAGUUAGUCUACUGCUUAUCUGUAGUCAUUCGAGUCAUGCCACUUUUGACAGUCAUGCAUUUACUAAUUGAAUCAUAAAAAUAUUAAAGAGCAUUCUAAUACCUCAUCUCCACCCACAUGAAACCACUUAAGAUCAGGAUGCAUCUCAAGAACUUGGUCUAUCAUCUUCUUAAUUAAAGGCACAGAAUCUGACAAAGAAAAAACACUUAUUUAGCAAAUGAACAAUGUUUUACUCUAUCAAUUACAAUAACAGGUUUAAUGGUAACUUACCUUUGUUAAUAGGACAAACUGAGUUUGUGAACUCUAUGGUCUCCCUCAAAUGAGCAAAUUGCUGAUGCUUCAACACAAACUAAGCA